rnacentral:rRNA from 1 species
CAAUAGCGUAUACUAAAGUUGUUGCAGUUAAAAAGCUCGUAGUUGAAUUUCUGGUCUUGGACAGCGGUCUGCCUCAAACGAGGUAUGCACUAUUUGUCCGAGUCCAUCCUCGGGGAAAACAUGUCUGUGAUUUAGUUCAUGGGCAUGGGAUCCUCGUCAUUUACUGUGAGCAAAAUAGAGUGUUCAAAGCAGGCUUAUGCCGUUGAAUAUUUUAGCAUGGAAUAAUAAGAUAAGACCUUGGUCUAUUUUGUUGGUUUGUACUCCAAGGUAAUGAUUAAUAGGGACAGUUGGGGGUAUUCGUAUUCAAUUGUCAGAGGUGAAAUUCUUGGAUUUAUUGAAGACGAACUACUGCGAAAGCAUUUACCAAGGAUGUUUUCAUUAAUCAAGAACGAAAGUUAGGGGAUCGAAGAUGAUCAGAUACCAU